AAAGCGUGCGCAGGCGGUUUUGUAAGUCUGUCGUGAAAUCCCCGGGCUCAACCUGGGAAUGGCGAUGGAGACUGCAAGGCUAGAGUUUGGCAGAGGGGGGUAGAAUUCCACGUGUAGCAGUGAAAUGCGUAGAUAUGUGGAGGAACACCGAUGGCGAAGGCAGCCCCCUGGGUCAAAACUGACGCUCAUGCACGAAAGCGUGGGGAGCAAACAGGAUUAGAUACCCUUGU
rnacentral:rRNA from 1 species